rnacentral:rRNA from 1 species
GCCCAGACUCCUACGGGAGGCAGCAGUGGGGAAUAUUGCACAAUGGGGGAAACCCUGAUGCAGCGACGCCGCGUGAGCGAUGAAGUAUUUCGGUAUGUAAAGCUCUAUCAGCAGGGAAGAAAAUGACGAUACCUGACUAAGAAGCCCCGGCUAACUACGUGCCAGCAGCCGCGGUAAUACGUAGGGGGCAAGCGUUAUCCGGAUUUACUGGGUGUAAAGGGAGCGUAGACGGCUGUGCAAGCCAGAUGUGAAAGCCCGGGGCUCAACCCCGGGACUGCAUUUGGAACUGUGUGGCUGGAGUGUCGGAGAGGCAGGCGGAAUUCCUAGUGUAGCGGUGAAAUGCGUAGAUAUUAGGAGGAACACCAGUGGCGAAGGCGGCCUGCUGGACGAUGACUGACGUUGAGGCUCGAAAGCGUGGGGAGCAAACAGGAUUAGAUACCCGAGUA